UGGUAGUGACGAAAAAUAACAAUGCGGGACUCUUCCGAGUCUGCGUAAUUGGAAUGAGCACACUUUAAAUCCUUUAGCAACAACCAAUUGGAGGGCAAGUCUGGUGCCAGCAGCCGCGGUAAUUCCAGCUCCAAUAGCGUAUAUUAAAGUUGUUGCGGUUAAAAAGCUCGUAGUUUGAGCUGAGUUGCGGACUGGGGUGGGAGGUCACCGCCCGGUGCUUCCCCUCUAGGCUCCGAACAGGUUUCUUUUGUGGAAUCCAAAGCCGGUACAUGUGGGGUGCUCUUUACCGAGUGUCCCGCGCGUCCGGCCAGUUCACCUUGAAUAAAUGAGAGUGCUCAAAGCAGGCUACUCUGGAAUACAAUGCCCGAAUGUUAACUGCAUGGAAUGAUGGAAGAUGAUCUCGGUUCCAUUUUGUUGGAUGUGGGAACCAGAGGUAAUGAUAAAGAGGGACUGUCGGGGGCAUCCGUACUACGACGCGAGAGGUGAAAUUCAGUGACCGUCGUAGGACGAACAACAGCGAAAGCAUUUGCCAAGAAUGUCUUCGUUGAUCAAGAACGAAAGUUAGAGGAUCGAAGGCGAUCAGAUACCGCCCUAGUUCUAACCCUAAACGAUGCUGACUAGCAAUUCGCCUAUGUUAUUCCCAUGACGUGGCGAGACGCCCCCGGGAAACCUCAAGUUUUUGAGUUCCGGGGGUAGUAUGGUUGCAAAAGUGAAACUUAAAGGAAUUGACGGAAGGGCACCACCAGGAGUGGAGCCUGCGGCUUAAUUUGACUCAACACGGGGAAGCUCACCAGGCCCGGACACCAGAAGGAUUGACAGAUUAAGAGCUCUUUCUCGAUUUGGUGGGUGGUGGUGCAUGGCCGUUCUU
rnacentral:rRNA from 1 species